rnacentral:rRNA from 1 species
AAUGAACGCUGGCGGCAGGCCUAAAACAUGCAAGUCGAACGCCCUAGCAAUAGGGAGUGGCGCACGGGGGAGUAACAUGUGGGAAUAUGCCUUUUGGUACGGAACAACGUUUGGAAACGAACGCUAAUACCGUAUGGUCCCUCCGGGGUAAAGAUUUAUCGCCAAAAGAUUAGCCCGCACUAGAUUAGCUAGUUGGUAAGGUAAUGGCUUACCAAGGCGACGAUCUAUAGCUGUUCUGAGAGGAAGAUCAGCCACACUGGGACUGAGACACGGCCCAGACUCCUACGGGAGGCAGCAGUUAGGAAUAUUGGACAAUGGGCGCAAGCCUGAUCCAGCCAGGCCGCGUGAGUGAUGAAGGCCUUCGGGUUGUAAAGCUCUUUAGCCGACGAAUAUAAUGACUGUAGUCGGAGAAUAAGCCCCGGCUAACUUCGUGCCAGCCGCCGCUGUAAUAC